rnacentral:lncRNA from 1 species
UAGACAAAGAGUUGUCCAUGCAUUAGUGUACGUAUUAUCAAUAACUGUUAUGUGAGGUGCUGUAUAUCGAUGGGACCGUAACAUCCACUAAAACCACUCAUCGUGUUAGAAUUUUUGUUUCUCCACCCGAGGAGUGUGAGAGACUCGAAAAAAUUAAUAGAAACUUUUUAUUUAUUUUUGAAGUUUUUAGAACAAACUUUUACAAGUAUAAUCAUCUAAUUAAAUCUUUACUCUCUGUGAUUAAUUCUGUCAACUUCCAAUCUUCUAGCUCGAAUCUUAGAUAUCAACCACUUAACUAAAAUCAGUUACAUAUUCUGGC